AAAAAGAAAAAAGAAAUACGGAACUUUUUUCUCUCCCAGUUCCUGGGGCCAGAACUCCCAAGUGUGGCGGCAGGGCUGUGCUUUCUCUCCCAAGGCUCUGCGAAGGGAUCCUUCCUUGCCUUUUCCAGCUUCGGGCAGCUCCAGGAGUUCCUUGCCUGCAUAAUCUCUGCCUCCAUCUUCUCAUGGGCUUCUCCUCUGUGUCUGUCUUCUCUUCGGCCCCGUAUAAAUUCCCUUGGCAUUGGAUGUAGGGUUCACCCAGGAAAUCCAGGAUGAUCUCAUCUUGAGAUUCUUAAUCACAUCCGCAAAGACGCUUUUUCCCAACGAGGUCACAUUCACAGGUUCCUGGGUUAGGGUAUGCUCCUAUUGGGGGGGGGGGGGAGCUGCACAAUUCAGCCACUACAAUAUGGGUAUGAAUAGAUAAUUCCAACACUGUGUGAUUAAGUGCUAGGCUAGGGUAUGUACAGAGGGUUACGGCGGGCACAGAUGAUACUUAGAAGGAGGCUCUAAUUCAGUCUGAGGGGUUCGGGGGAGACUUUUUGAGUGAAGUGACAUGUACGGUGAAACCCGAAGACUGCCAGGGGCAGGAAGGUGGGCUGGGGGAGCUUUAUGGGUGAGAAACAAAGUAUGCUGAGUUUCGAUAACUGAGAGACGUUUAACGUGCCUAGUCAAUGUGAGACGAGGAAAAGCGGAAAAGACUACAAAGGUAAACAGGGCCCAGAAUGUGACUGUCCUUGAAAACCUUGUCUAGAAUAUUGGGAUUUUAAAGCUACGGCGGUGGGGGCGGUGGUCAGGGGGACGGUUUUCCGUUGGGUAAAGAUAAUUUGGAGGGCCGUACGGAGGGUGGAUUUGUGGGGCUUAGGACUGGAGCCAAAGAAAUCAGGAUGAUGUUGCAGUAAUUUGAGCAAGAGAUGGUGAGGGGAUUAAGGGGAUUGGGAUGAGAAAUACUGAGGAUGCAGAAUUAUUUUCAUAACUAUUGUUAGUCACAGCUGAACUCGCGAGUGCAUUUCUACAGUGUUUCCAAAGUGAAGUGGGAUUCCAAAGGUCUCAACUUUUCAUCUGCGCUUUCUUUUUGGAACUAUGACUAGCCCAGCAGAGAAAGAGGAAAAAAAAAGAGAGAGAAAGGGAGGGGUAACAAUAGGGAUCCGGCAACAGUUUUUGAUAAACACUUUGAAUUUCUGAAACACAUCUUUGACAAAUGGGUUGAUUUCCUUUAGCUCUUAGAGCCGUGGGCACACUUUAAUUUGCAUUGCUUCAAAGUAAAUUUGGCUUUUCCAUCUCCUUCCUAAGUGAAAGGGUGGGACUGUACAUCUGGGGGGGGGUGUCUAUUGCUUAUGACUCACUCUUAAUGAUACGCACCUGUUUGGUUCUUGGGUCUCAAAAAGUUACACGAGAAGCAGGUCAGGAAUGCAGAAGGGUGUUAUCAAGUGGCAGUGGCAUUCCGUGCAGAAAGAACGGAGGCGGCAGCAGUUAAGAGAAGAGUGAAGUAUUCCAUUAUACAGAUGAAAAAACCAAAGCACAGAGAAAACCAGUAACAUACAAGACUACAAAGCUACAGUCUCUUACUCUAUUUUUCCUGUCAUUUCCCCUCCACUCCACUCCUGACUUCCUCAGAAUGACAUGAACCAGAAAAGCUGGAGGAUUUCUGAACCAGUGGCCUCCCAACAUUCUCAGUCAUAUGCUCCUCAAAUCCCUUAUAACCAAAAAAGAGAGCCUUUGCUCUGAACUUGUUUCUGCUGCGAUUUUUCAUGCAAUAGGAAAUAUCUUAGAGUUAAAUUUGAUAUCAAGAGCUUGGCUGCUAUUUUUUUUUUUUUUGAAUGGCAAAACAACAUUUCUGUUCACCAAGGGACAUGGAUUAUAAAGCUUUAUCAUCAGCAUGGUGAGAUGUGUCUUUGCUUUAAGUGGCCACUUUCUAUUUUUAGCUUUGCUAUCAUUUCUAAGAACCCUCUAACGGUAGACACAGUAAUCGCUCACUGUAAAUAAGAGAUAUGGCUACAUCGACACAGGUGCUUAGAUUGCUAGGUGACAACAGGAGACUGAGAUGGCAUUCAUUCAAAUAAGUAUGAUUUCCAUGGAAAUCAGGAACAUGAAAUCAUUGGGAAUUUAGCUACUUCUGUUACGUCAUAUCCUGGCAGGGGUUGCCGCCUCUGAUGUCAACUUUCCCGUCUGUAUUUAAUAUGUACAAUUCUCUUUUUUUUUUUAAUUUUUUUUUCAACAUUUAUUUAUUUUUGGGACAGAGAGAGACAGAGCAUGAACGGGGGAGGGGCAGAGAGAGAGGGAGACACAGAAU